rnacentral:misc_RNA from 1 species
UUUUGCUUGGAGUCGCAGUUUCAGGACAAGCUUGGCUUCUGGCCACAUCUUCAACAAUCUCUGGUUUCUCCCCUCGGUUCACAUCCUCUAGAAGCUUCAACGGGAUAACCUUGAACUUUGAUGACGGCUCUUCCACAGAACUCACACCACUACUAAGCUUCUUCAUGUCCUUAGCUGAAUUUUGUGCAUUCUCAAACUCCGGCUUCCACAUUAUCGGCCAUGGAAACUGCAUUUUUCCAUCAUCUACGUUCCUAUUAUUCUUCUCCUCUCCUCCUUGUCUCACGCCCUUGAGGGUAUUAGUAUCCAGCGGGCCACUACUAAGCUUCUUCAAG